AUUGAACGCUGGCGGCAGGCCUAACACAUGCAAGUCGAGCGAGCGGCGGACGGGUGAGUAAUGUGUAGGAAACUUCCUGAUGGAGGGGGGUAACUACCGGGAACCGGAACCAAUACCGCAUUCCCUCAGAUGUGCCGAGAUGGGAUUAGCUAGUAGGUGUGGUACCGGCUCACCUAGGCGACGAUCCCUAGCUGGACUGAGAGGAUGACCAGCCACACUGGAACUGAGACACGGUCCAGACUCCUACGGGAGGCAGCAGUGGGGAAGAGUGCGCAAUGGGCGCAAGCCCGAUGCAGCCAUGCCGCGUGUGUGAAGAAGGCCUUCGGGUUGUAAAGCACUUUCAGCGGGGAGGCGUUACCCGCAGAAGAAGCACCGGCUACCUCCGUGCCAGCAGCCGCGGUAAUUC
rnacentral:rRNA from 1 species